CAGAAGUCGCGACACAAAACCUAGUGCACAGUCCAAGUUCUUAAGUGCCCUCACGUGGAAUGCGAUAUUUUUGAAAGUAUGCAAAAAAGGCAACCUUUGGUGCUUGUUUAAACAUAUACACAAUACCCUUUGCUGCAGGUUUAAAACUAUACACAACAACCUUCGCUGCAGGUUUAAAACUAUACACAACAACCUUCGCUGCAGGUUUAAAACUAUACACAACAACCUUCGCUGCAGGUUUAAAACUAUACACAACAACCUUCGCUGCAGGUUUAAAACUAUACACAACAACCUUCGCUGCAGAUUUCAAAAAAUAUGCACUGCAGCCUUUUUAAAAAACUGCAACAGCCUUUGCUGCA
rnacentral:lncRNA from 1 species